rnacentral:rRNA from 1 species
UACGUAGGUGGCAAGCGUUGUCCGGAUUUAUUGGGCGUAAAGCGCGCGCAGGCGGUGCGGUAAGGCUGCCGUGAAAUCGCCCGGCUCAACUGGGCGGGUGCGGUGGCGACUGCCGGACUGGAGGGACUCAGAGGCCGGUGGAAUUCCCGGUGUAGUGGUGAAAUGCGUAGAGAUCGGGAGGAACACCAGUGGCGAAGGCGGCUCACUGGACCGGUACUGACGCUGAUGCGCGAAAGCGUGGGGAGCAAACGGG